rnacentral:rRNA from 1 species
UACAGGGGGGGCAAGCGUUGUUCGGAAUUACUGGGCGUAAAGGGCUCGUAGGCGGCCGAUUAAGUCCGACGUGAAAUCCCCAGGCUUAACCUGGGAACUGCGUCGGAUACUGAUUGGCUUGAAUCCGGGAGAGGUAAGCGGAAUUCCUGGUGUAGCGGUGAAAUGCGUAGAUAUCAGGAGGAACACCUGUGGUGUAGACAGCUUACUGGACCAUUUCUGACGCUGAGACACGAAAGCGUGGGUAGCAAACAGG